CUGGCCUCGAAACUCAAGAUGAUCCUCCAGCCUCAGCCUCCUAAAUUCUGGGAUUAUAGGUGUAAACCACCCCACCCAGCUCUAUCUUUAUAAAGUGCAGAAGAGAGAAAAACUAGUAAAAGCUGAAAAAAUGAAAAAAACAUUUUAAACCAGGAAGUUUAAGCUUAGGCCAGGAAGGACACAGGGUGGAGAUCCUCCAGGGUGAGGACAUUGCCUAUGUGGCUUUCAGGGGACCUGGGUAUGAAAGAGCUGGCAUUACAUCCAGUGUUUAGGUCAGCUAGCAUUGUAUUAGUGUCUUUUGUAAACUCACUGAUCAUUUUGUUUAAUCUCCUUAUCAUUUUGAAUAAUUCAGAAGUUUGGGGUUUUUUUUCUCCCCUGUGGAUCAGCUUUGGGAGGAUCUGGAAGUGCUUGGAGGCAUUUUGUUGCCUUGUCUUCUUGUUUCUUGCCUUGUUUCUGUGGUGGGGGGGAUGAUUUCUUCAUUGAUUGUGCCCAAAGCAGGCUGUAGGCAGGCUUUAAAGAAUUAACCCUGUGAUUGGCUUGUUUAAAGAAGUGAGUCCAACUGAAGACUGCAUGACUCAAUGCAUCGUUGUGGAUGGCUUGUGGGUCAAUGUCACCCCCCUUGCCCACAGCCAUGGCAGAGGCCAGAGUGACACCCUGUGAAGCUGUGGGGCUCAAGGUGAGGUAACAUAGCAGCUGAGCUUGGGGUGACUCACAGCCAAAUUCCAUUCCGCAAAUUAAAACUUUCUUUACUAAAAAGACAAGGUUGAUUAUUAACCACAACCUCUAUUUUUUCUGUUCUGUUCCGAAUUCAAGAAUACUUUGUCUCUUCCUUUUUAAGCCUUGCCUACAUCAGCAACAUACCCAUAGCAACUCCAUGCAGCCCCUUUACCUCAGUCUUGACUAUGAUGUCACCAACGAAUAUCAGCAGUUUUGGUUGGUUUGCUGCUUGCUCAGCACUGGCCAUUCUGGCUCUCCAUUUCUCUCUUUAACUCUGCCUCUGCCUCUGAUUCUUUCUUCUAGCCAUGCAUCACAGCACACAGCAGUAGGUCUGGACCUGCUGCAGAGGUCCUUGUUAUGUGUGUGUGUGUGAGACAUUUUUACUGGGUUUAUAGAAAACUGAUAAACAGAAAGCUCACAUUUGGGGACUAACAAAUCUUUCUGGUCAAGAACAUGGAGCCAUCUUCCCAUUUCCUUUGCCUUGUAAGGUUCCUCAGUAAAGAACAUACAUGUACAGGUGAAAAAUGAUAGAAAAUGGAUACUAGAUUUUAUUAGAAUAAGUUUUAGCCCUGAAUUUUUGACCCCCCUCCCAUACCCCUAGCCCUGAAUUUGAUACAUCAUGGGAAAUAUUGUGAUGGCCAACCCGACUCCAUCUUGUGCCUCAGUGUCACUUGGUACCUGUGCUCGAACAAAGUGCUUGCCUUUGAACAAAGCACCCCAACACCCCACAUCCUGCUUGGCAGUAAACUCGCUGCAGUUGUAGGAUGUUUCGUAGCUCACCUAGUGCGUGUGAAACUUCCUUGUGCUCCCCACUAACCUGGCAUGGUUCUGCUUCUGUAAGAUUCUGCUUGCUCUCUGCUGAGCCCACCCCAACUGAAAGCAUGAUUUAAAAGGAGAAAUCAAACUGCUUCCUGUUGCCAAGAGAACUUUCUGGGCACCAGCCCCUCCUCAACUGCUGGCUUUAAUAAAUGGGCUCAAAUCUGGCACAGAGUGUGGGCCAUCUCUAUUGUUCUAACUCCCUCAUCCGUAACGAUAUUUCAUAGUGCACUUUUUUACAGUGAACAUAACAGUUCUCAUUGUGAUAAAUAAAACACACAUUUAUUACCACAGUGAAAUCGCUUUUAAGUAGUCAAUAAAAUGAUCUAUAACUGAUUGAAAGUUGUUUUUAUUUUGCUGCUCAUUAAUAUUUUGCUGCCUUGGGAUAGAGCCCCCUCAAAGAUUCCCACCGAUGCCUCUUCCCCUCCGCAUCUGCUCCGGCCCUCUUAACCCUCAGACUGGUUGCUGCUCCUGCACUGUCCUGGGCCCGCCUGCAGCCCCUCCCCAGCAGCCCUAUUACCUGUACUUCUUCUUGUCUCUGUCACUGAUGUUUUUCCCCAGAAGGAGAAGAUGCUACACUCUGGCCGUGUCGCCCGUGCUGGCAGCCUUGUAGAGACUGCCCACGGUCCUGGGGUGGAAGCUGUGCUGCGGACCCGAAAGUGCCCUUCAAGCCUGCAGGGCCAAGAGCGCCUGGCCCCUACUGAUGAGGCCCAAGAUCCACCUUACAGCUAAGGCUACUGGAACCCGAGCAACCGCCCUCCCCUUCAGCCUUUCUCUGCCUCUGAAGUUAAAACAGCCCAGCCUGCUGCUGAGUCCCAACCUUCCCAACCUUCCCACCCGUCCCAACUGUCCCAGCCGCUAGUUUCCGCUGCCAGCUUCCAACUGGGUGGAAUCUCCAACCCCCAGCGACGCGACUAACCGCCCCUGCUCAUGGCUCCGCAGGCGCAUGCUCACCAGGCCUUCUCAGUAGCAGGUGCGCCUGUGCAGUGGGGCCUGCAGGAUGCUGCGCUCCGAAGCGGUGUGAGCAGUCCUGGGGCCUGACAGCACCCGGGGCCACUGACCAAGGCAGAGUGCUGAAGACCAUGGAGAUCAUCCUUGUGGCAGGACAAGGAACCACGUACGGUGCUUCAAGGUGACAGGCAUCGUGGUGAGACGCUGCCUGCUUCAGCCUUCUCCUGAAAAGACCGGGGAUGGACCUCAAAGCUCUGAGAACGGGUAUUCUCUGUGUGCACAGGGGAGCCCAUUUCCUCACACGGGGCCAGCCUGGAUUUCGGCUUUGUCACUGCUUUGAGCUGGCACACACCAACCGGCACACUUCCCUGCCUGUGCAUUUUGGCAGCCUGUGAACAGGAAGUGCGGGGCAGCAGAUUUCCAGGAAUGAAACCCUUCCAACAAAGAAGAAAUGAACUGACAGGAUGAGGGAGGCCAGGACCUUGAGAAACAUGCUGAGCAGUCAAAGAUCGCAGGAAGCUGUGCUCCAGGCAAGUUGAUGCCAACAAAAGACAUGGUACAGACAGAAGCGAUGCCAGGGUGACGGAAAAGCUAGAGCAGCACGCACAGAUCCCUGCGCACAAGAGCACCAACGGCCCCCGAGAAAUCGGGCUUUUGGAAUGUGAAAAAUCCGCGCCUCUGGGAUGGGGCCUCCCCUUAAGCUGGACAUGGCUCAGGACGGACUCGUGCUCCAGGAGGAAGGUGAGAGGCACGUGGCCCAGAGCCCUUCCUGGAUCAGCCACUAAUCUGCAAACUCCAGAGGGCCUUGCCCAUGGAAGGGGAAGCCCAUACUCUGCCAGUGGGCUCCCCUCGUCAUCAAGGUCCUGACUUCCGGCCGAGCCCCAGGACAGCCGCUCUGCAGCCACAGGGUGUGUGCAAGGGUUCGCCACACACCAGGCCCGGAAGCGGGUCAGUAAAGCACAAGUAGUACCACCGUGAGCAAGCAGCGGCCGGAAACUGCAAGUGCCCUCGACCACAGAACUUCCAGGGCCUCCAGCUCACUUCAGAGGAAUAUCU